rnacentral:rRNA from 1 species
GAUGAACGCUGGCGGCGUGCCUAAUACAUGCAAGUCGAGCGAAGCGGGGACGGGUGAGUAACACGUGGAUAACCUCCUCUAAGACUGGGAUAACUUCGGGAAACCGGAGCUAAACCGGAUACUUAUCGAUGGAUCCCCGCUGCAUUAGCUAGUUGGGAAGGUAACGGCUUACCAAGGCCACGAUGCAUCGCCGACCUGAGAGGGUGAUCGGCCACACUGGAACUGAGACACGGUCCAGAUGCCUACGGUAGGCAGCAGUAGGGAAUCUUCCGCAAUGGGCGAAAGCCUGACGGAGCAACGCCGCGUGAGUGAGGAAGGUCUUCGGAUCGUAAACCUCUGUUAUGAAGGAAGCGGUACCUAAUCAGAAAGCCACGGCUAACUACGUGCCAGCAGCCGCGGUAAUAC